AACCAUAGAAACCUGCGGAGUACCUGCGGAGGGAUCAUUAUAGUAUAUGGAAUCUCCAUUCUAUAAACCCACUCUGCGUAUCUUGUAACUGUUGCUUCCAUGGGACUUGGUUCCGCCACACCGGCUUCACGGCCGGUGAGCGCCCAUGGAAGGAGAAACAAAACUCUUCUUUGAAAUGUAGUCAGUCUGAACAAGUUUUUAUAAACGUUAAAACUUUCAGCAAUGGAUCUCAGAUCGGAA
rnacentral:misc_RNA from 1 species